UGUAAGGUACCGGACUUCUAAAAUUAUGAAGUUACGGUGUACAUUUGGUUGGAAAGCUAUUUGAAUGGUUCCGGUGAGGUUGCGGUGGAAUGUAAUAUACCGGAUUUUUAAAUAUAAAAAUAGAAAUAAAUAAAAAUAGUAUGAGAUACUAUUUUUAUUGAAUUUAGAGAGGUGAAAUAUAAGUUGGGAAUGAGCUGAGCUGAAAUCGGAGCGAAAACAGAAGAUUUAGAAUUUUCUGUGAAAGACGGGGCAGAUAAAUUAGCAGAAAAUGUACAGUGUCAGUGUAAUAUACCGAAAAUUUGGAAAAUAAAUAUCAAACUUUAGUCAAAUUGA
rnacentral:lncRNA from 1 species